rnacentral:rRNA from 1 species
UUUUAUGAGAGUUUGAUCCUGGCUCAGGACGAACGCUGGCGGCGUGCCUAAUACAUGCAAGUCGUACGCUUCUUUUUUCACCGGAGCUUGCUCCACCGGAAAAAGAAGAGUGGCGAACGGGUGAGUAACACGUGGGUAACCUGCCCAUCAGAAGGGGAUAACACUUGGAAACAGGUGCUAAUACCGUAUAACAAUCGAAGCCGCAUGGUUUUGAUUUGAAAGGCGCUUUCGGGUGUCGCUGAUGGAUGGACCCGCGGUGCAUUAGCUAGUUGGUGAGGUAACGGCUCACCAAGGCCACGAUGCAUAGCCGACCUGAGAGGGUGAUCGGCCACAUUGGGACUGAGACACGGCCCAAACUCCUACGGGAGGCAGCAGUAGGGAAUCUUCGGCAAUGGACGAAAGUCUGACCGAGCAACGCCGCGUGAGUGAAGAAGGUUUUCGGAUCGUAAAACUCUGUUGUUAGAGAAGAACAAGGAUGAGAGUAACUGUUCAUCCCUUGACGGUAUCUAACCAGAAAGCCACGGCUAACUACGUGCCAGCAGCCGCGGUAAUACGUAGGUGGCAAGCGUUGUCCGGAUUUAUUGGGCGUAAAGCGAGCGCAGGCGGUUUCUUAAGUCUGAUGUGAAAGCCCCCGGCUCAACCGGGGAGGGUCAUUGGAAACUGGGAGACUUGAGUGCAGAAGAGGAGAGUGGAAUUCCAUGUGUAGCGGUGAAAUGCGUAGAUAUAUGGAGGAACACCAGUGGCGAAGGCGGCUCUCUGGUCUGUAACUGACGCUGAGGCUCGAAAGCGUGGGGAGCAAACAGGAUUAGAUACCCUGGUAGUCCACGCCGUAAACGAUGAGUGCUAAGUGUUGGAGGGUUUCCGCCCUUCAGUGCUGCAGCUAACGCAUUAAGCACUCCGCCUGGGGAGUACGACCGCAAGGUUGAAACUCAAAGGAAUUGACGGGGGCCCGCACAAGCGGUGGAGCAUGUGGUUUAAUUCGAAGCAACGCGAAGAACCUUACCAGGUCUUGACAUCCUUUGACCACUCUAGAGAUAGAGCUUCCCCUUCGGGGGCAAAGUGACAGGUGGUGCAUGGUUGUCGUCAGCUCGUGUCGUGAGAUGUUGGGUUAAGUCCCGCAACGAGCGC